rnacentral:rRNA from 1 species
UACGAAGGGUGCAAGCGUUGUUCGGAAUUACUGGGCGUAAAGCGCGUGCAGGUGGUAUCGUAAGUCGGAUGUGAAAGCCUCUGGCUCAACUGGAGGAUGUCGUUCGAUACUGCGGAACUUGAGGUCGGGAGAGGGAAGCGGAAUUCCCGGUGUAGUGGUGGAAUGCGUAGAUAUCGGGAGGAACACCAGUGGCGAAGGCGGCUUCCUGGCCCGCACCUGACACUAAGACGCGAAAGCGUGGGGAGCGAACGGGAUUAGAUACCCGCGUAGUCC